rnacentral:rRNA from 1 species
GUGCCAGCCGCCGCGGUAAUACGUAGGGUGCGAGCGUUGUCCGGAAUUAUUGGGCGUAAAGGGCUCGUAGGCGGUUUGUCACGUCGGGAGUGAAAACUCGGGGCUUAACUCCGAGCCUGCUUCCGAUACGGGCUGACUAGAGGUAUGCAGGGGAGAACGGAAUUCCUGGUGUAGCGGUGAAAUGCGCAGAUAUCAGGAGGAACACCGGUGGCGAAGGCGGUUCUCUGGGCAUUACCUGACGCUGAGGAGCGAAAGUGUGGGGAGCGAACAGGAUUAGAUACCCCUGUAGUCC